AAGUCGUAACAAGGUUUCCGUAGGUGAACCUGCGGAAGGAUCAUUAUUGAAUCACACCUCGCAAGAGGUUAUUCAUUUUCUACACCGUGAACCUGCUUCGGCAACACAUCAUAUGUCAUGAAUGUAUAAUUCUAUAAUAAUAAAACAACUUUCAACAACGGAUCUCUUGGCUCUC
rnacentral:misc_RNA from 1 species